ACGGCGAGUGAAGCGGGAUGAGCUCAAGCUUAAAAUCUCCGUGCAAUUUUUGCACGGCGAAUUGUAGUCUAUAGAGGCGUGGUCAGUAUAAGCACUUGGGGUAAGUUCCUUGGAAAAGGACAGCAUGGAGGGUGAUACUCCCGUUCAUCUCUAAGUUGCUUGUGCGUACGACCCGUUUUCUUUGAGUCGCGUUGUUUGAGAAUGCAGCGCAAAGUAGGUGGUAAAUUCCAUCUAAAGCUAAAUAUUGGUGCGAGACCGAUAGCAAACAAGUACCGUGAGGGAAAGAUGAAAAGAACUUUGAAAAUAGAGUUAAAGAGUACCUGAAACUGCUGAAAGGGAACCAAAUCGUUUCCAGUGUCUAUAAUCCGUGGUAUAUUUCAUUGGCGAGUGUGUGCGUGCGUGUGCUGUUGCAGUAGCUUUUUGGCUGCGCUCAGUGUGUGUGCUGUGUGUACUUGCUGGUGCCCUGUGCUACGGUGGGACGUCAAGGUCAGUUCGUAUGCUGCGGGAAAUGGCUACUGAGGAGGUAGGGCUUACGCUUGCGUUUGUCUGUUAUAUCUUGGUGGACGAGUCGUCGCGGUUGGGACUGAGGUGCCUACAACGUGCUUUUGAGUGGGCUUGGGUCUCCGUGUGCGCCGUGUGCGGAUAGCUUGCUAUGCGUGUGUGGUUGUAUGUGGAUUGAUGCGAGCCGUAACUUGUAGUCGUUCGGGACGUUGACGAAAUGGAGCGAUUUGACCCGUCUUGAAAC
rnacentral:rRNA from 1 species